ACCUUUGGCCAUCAAGGGAAACUAGAAUUAAGAACCCAGUGUUAGAAGCAGUGAGUUGCAUCCCACUGUGUGACCAUCACCUACUCCCCCUCCUUCUCUGGACCUCAUAUUCCCAUGUAUAUGAUGAUGUGCAGGGUGUUGCCUCUGUUCUAGUUGGAGAUCUUGGUGAAGGGCUGAGUGGUCAGGAUGUCCUGUGGGAGCAGUGGGAGUCUGAAGCUGCACAGCUGGACUGUCUGGCCUCACUGUCCUCAGCUCCAGCCCAGAGUCACCACCCACAUGAAAGCCUCGGGCCCUCAGAUGGGGAAAGGAGCCAGAGGGUAGAGUCCAGCUGUGCCACAGAGCUGCUGUGGGAGGCAGGCCGUGGUUGGGACCAGCUAGUGGGACUACCAAGGAAGCCCAGGAGGCCGCCAGGUGUGUGGGGCUGGAAUUGGAAUUUUAAGAGCCUCAAGAAAUGGAAACUGUCGUCCCAAAUAAGAUGAUUGAGUGGAAUUGGAAGAGGGAUAUAAGAAGACACAGCCUUGGGGAACACAGAGUCUGGGCUGGGUAGAGAAGCAGCCCAGGGAAGUGCCUGAGAGGAAGACCAAGGAAGAUGUGAUGAAAACCAGUCUGCAAUAUGAAGAAGACACGGUGCAUGUAGAAGAAGCUAUGUUGGAGUUCAAGCACUUAAGGUUAUCACCAUUGACCACCCCUGACUUUGUGACCUUUGACACUAGCAUCUCUCUCCUUUGGAAGAUAAACAACAUGAAUGAGUUUGCCUGUUUUUGAACUUGCUAUACAUCGGAUCAUACAGUGUAUAUUCUUUUCUUUGCCUUCAUUAAAUUUAGCAUCAAUUG